ACAGUUCACCACAGCUUUCGAGAAUAGACGAGUGACGACGGCAGCGAAUCAGCGAAAAGCAUGAAUUUUUGAAUUCUUUUAAUCAAAUUUGACUGUGCUUGCCAGACAAGACAUUUUACUACACAUUCGAAUAGUGUCGAAGAUCUGACACUAGACUGAAACAAACAUGCAUCGCGCAAGGGUUAUAUUUCAACUGUCAAGUAAAGUUGGGAACAACGAACGGUUCGCAUCAUGGCUCCUAAACAAACCACAGACAACUGCGGGGUCAGUAGUCGGAUAUAGGCACAAAAGCUCGGCGGCUGCUGAACCCUUCCUCAAUGGCUCCAGCUCAGCAUACGUGGAGACCAUGUACAACUCAUGGCUCGCAGACUCCAGCUCUGUACAUGCGGUAAGUGUCAAUAUUUAAGUUAUUAACUUAUUAUU